rnacentral:pre_miRNA from 1 species
GCUUUUAACGCGGAGCUUUAGUAAUUUAACAUGUAUACUAAGGCACGCGGUGAAUGCUU